UGUGAGGCAUACCCGUAACAAUUGGAUCGUUUAACCCGUUUUUAUUGGCGGGUUACGCGAGCGAGAAGCUCGCCAGAAAACGUGAUCGCAUUUUAUACUCCGACCUCAUGCAUGAACUCGUAUUCCGGCACCGCAAAUUGCAUCAAUAAAAAAAAUGAAUCUCUGAAUGAACGCAUCCUCGCAAAGUACGUCUGUUUUUAUAUUCAAAGUGAACAAACGGCCGGAUACUUGACGCAGUUCCGUUCCAAUUGAGCAACGAAGAUUUGUCGAAGAACGAGAUCGCCACCUGAAUCGACUAGGACUUCUAUUUUUGUCGUGAGAGAAGCAAAACUAACUCCAUCACGUCGAGUGCAAUCGACUCUUCAGCUUGUCGCGUCGGAUAUGAUCGCGAGUGACCGAAAUGCUGACAAGAUCGAGAUCACAACGACCGAUAGCGUUAACGAACCCGCCGAUUUCGACACAGCCAUAUCCACAACCGGUUAUGGAUUAUUUAAUGUGCUGCUGCUACUGGCGGUGUUGCCAAUUGCGUGGACCGCCGUUUUUGAUACUACUACUGGCGGAUUCAUCUUGGCAUCAGCCGAGUACGAUUUCGAGCUUACGUUUUUUCGCAAAGGCAUGUUCGUUGCGUUUCCUUACAUAGGUAUGACAACGACUGCUUUUAUAUGGGAUUAUAUAACGCCCUACAUAAGUAUGAAAAUAUUGUUCAUCUUCGCAUUAUUAGGUGAUUCGAUUUUGAACAUUGUGAGUAGUGGUGUACGGUCGUUCUACAUAUAUCUACUAAUCAAAUUUAUCAGCGGGAUCUUAGUAGGCGGCCCGUUGGCGAUGGUGAUGACGUACUUAAUGGAAUUCCAUUCGGCAAGGUAUAAACUCCGUUUCACCACAUGGACGGGAUUUCUCUUCGCCAUAGCGAACAUCAUACCAGCAGUUAUUGCCUUUGCGAUAUUACCGUUAGACUGGCACAUUGAUAUCCUUGGCCAAGACUACGAUGCUUGGCGUAUAUACCUACUGAUCUGUUCGAUACCACCCGUCGUCGGCCUCGUGACGGCGACCAUGUUGCCGGAAAGCCCUAAGUAUCUCAUGGCAACUGGCAGGUCAGAUGCUGCCUUGAAAUUGCUUAGGAGGAUGUAUUGUAUGAACACCCACCAACCUGCGGAUACGUUCCCGAUAAAAGCGCUGUUCGUUCGGCAAAAGACGCAAUUGGCGCGUCCCAUGCUUAAGGACAGCCUCGAAAGGAUGCGCAUCUCGUUGUACAACACGAAGAUACUACUGGCGAGUCAUCUGCCCGCUUUCUGCUUCGUAAGUUUCCUCCAAUUUGGAAGUAUGCUCGGAUUUCACAUAAUGAGACUGUGGGUGCCGCAGCUUUUUAUUAUUGUCAGCAACUUUGACGAGAAAAAUUGGACACCGAAGGAAAGACAGCCAACUUUCUGUGAGCUGCUGGACCCUCACGUGACUAUACCGGGCAGACAAUAUUUAAAUUGUUCCAACUUUAAAGACGUAUUUUUCAGGUGGACCACCUAUCCUGUGAUUUAUCAAAAUUCCACCGUUAUCGCAUUUUCUGCCGUUAUAUUUUCAUUUCUCGCCGGAUUCGUAAUGACUACUAAACUUCGAAAACAGAUCAUAAUGAUCACGGCCCUCCUGAUAUCGGUGGCAAGCAGUUUCGGAAUAAAUUGGGCGCAGUCUCCACCGUAUAUGCUGACGCUGGCGGCGGCGGUUAUCGUGACGACAAGAAUAGCGGAGAUACGAGCAUCAAUAUCCUUACGACCAUUGGAAAUGUUGCCGCUAUUGUGGGAAAUCUGAUUUUCUCCGCGCUUCUGGAGACUGAGUGCCUCAUCGCUUUCAUAGGAAUGGGUUGUUUCUUCUCCGUCUGCCUUUGCAUAUCUCUAUUCUUUCCGCAAUCUGUGAAAAAAUCGCCAGCGAAACCUACUGAAGUUAGUACAAAGUGAAG
rnacentral:misc_RNA from 1 species